UUCUGAGUGAAGCAAGCGGGCGGCAGAGCUGGAGGUUUCACAAGGCUGCUGGGAGAGGCUUCGGUGCAGGAACCCAAGUCCAAGUUUGCUUCUUAGGAUGUGUAAAGCAUGGUCUUUAAGAAAGAGAACCUGGAUUUCAUUGAAUUGUAUUUAUGUCGAAUCACGAGUCUCUUGUGCAAUUAUUAGCAUGAACUCUGUGCAUGAAAGCAACAUCAGGAGUCUGCCUGGGUCCGAGAGGAGUUCAGCCUUACUACAGCCUCAGAUGAGAACAGGAGUGGGACCAGCUCUGAGUUAGAUGAAACCCAGAAGACUUCAGAGAAAGUCCUCUAUCACUUCCAGCCCAGCCCAGUAAGGGAAACUGGGACUCUUCCUCCUUUUGUUCUACUCAAGUUGCUGCUUCCAAGGCUCUGUGACCGACAAGGGAUGGACUGGACUAUUAAUCUAAAAUGUUUAAUUUUUAAAGUCAUUUGUCAUAGAGAGUCACAACCCCGAGCAAUGAAAAUAUUUUUUAAUUCAUAGGACACCUGCUGGGAGAAGUGUGCUCCUGUUACUCAGAAUUCUGCAAGUGAAAGUAAAAUGUGUUGGGGAUAGUUCCUCCCUAAUCUCCAUUGGGAAGUUUGCAUCUGGAUCCCAGUUGUAUACAGUUUUUGUUAAUUUAUGCUUGUGUGAACAGCUGCCUGAGACAGACCAUAUUUGGAUUUAGCAAGUGUUUCUGUUCCUUCAAAAAAAAAAUAUAUCAAAACAAAACAACUCCACAGUAAUGACAAUGAAGGCUUUCAAAAGAAUUCUGGAAACUCAGGUUCCCAGAAGUGGCCCAAUAACAUGAAGAUAUGAAACAAGGUCUCUACUAUGUCAGAGACAUCGCCAUGUUAGUUAGCUGUCAACUGACAUCUAACAGAAGCCUUUUCACAUGACUCUCUGUCAGACAUCCCUGAUAACCGUGUGCACACUUUCCCUGUGUCACAUCACCACUCCACCAGUGGUGUCAGGAGGAAAGACAACAAAGGCCAGAACUGUUACUGCUGAGACAGAAAGAAGACUGUAUCAGUAGCAUGACUCUUUAAUCACUGUUAUGUACAAUUUAUCAUCUGACAGACUUACAGGGAAUAAAUAAAGGAAAAUAGACAAUUGGCA
rnacentral:lncRNA from 1 species